CACGCACACACGCGCGGCAUAUCAAUAAGCGGAGGAAAAGAAACUAACAAGGAUUCCCUUAGUAACGGCGAGUGAAGCGGGAAGAGCUCAAAUUUGAAAUCUUCAAGGUUCUACCUUGACGAAUUGUAGUUUAUAGAAGUGUUUUCUGUUAGUGGAGUGGCAAAAGUUCUUUGGAAUAGGACAUCAUAGAGGGUGAGAAUCCCGUAUUUGGUCAUUCCUCCUAGCGUUGUGAUACACUUUCAACGAGUCGGAUUGUUUGGGAAUGCAGUCCAAAAUGGGUGGUAAAUUUCAUCUAAAGCUAAAUAUUGGCGAGAGACCGAUAGCGAACAAGUACCGUGAGGGAAAGAUGAAAAGAACUUUGAAAAGAGAGUUAAACAGUACGUGAAAUUGUCAAAAGGGAAGCGUUUGACACCAGUGUUGUUUUUCCGAAAAUCAAUUAAAAAUGGCUUGAUUUUGUGUUGUAUUGACCUUAAAAGCUUUCUGCACUUUUUUCAUGUCUUUUUUAAUGCACUUUUCGUUUAACAAGUCAACAUCAGUUUCUUUUGUUGUAAAGAGGUCAUUGGAAGGUGGCUUUCUUUUCGGAGAAAGUGUUUAUAGCCUUUUACCUCUGCAAUCGGAGAGAUUGAGGACAGCAGCGUAGACUCUUCGGGGUUAGAUACACUUGUGCUAAGCUAUAGCCUUGUAUAGACAACUUGUUGACUAUGCUCAGUCAUGUAGCUUACUCGCUUGUGCUAUUUUACCUACGCUUAGGAUGUUGAAGAUAUGCGCGACACG
rnacentral:rRNA from 1 species